rnacentral:rRNA from 1 species
UAUUGCACAAUUGGGGCAACCCUGGUGCAGCGACGCCGCGUGAGUGAAGAAGUAUUUCGGUAUGUAAAGCUCUAUCAGCAGGGAAGAAAAUGACGGUACCUGAUUAAGAAGUUCCGGCUAACUACGUGCCAGCAGCCGCGGUAAUACGUAGGGGGCAAGCGUUAUCCGGAAUUACUGGGUGUAAAGGGAGCGUAGACGGCAGCACAAGUCUGGAGUGAAAUGCCGGGGCUUAACCCCGGAACUGCUUUGGAAACUGUGCAGCUAGAGUGCAGGAGAGGUAAGUAGAAUUCCUAGUGUAGCGGUGAAAUGCGUAGAUAUUAGGAGGAACACCAGUGGCGAAGGCGGCUUACUGGACUGUAACUGACGUUGAGGCUCGAAAGCGUGGGGAGCAAAUAGG